GUAUUGUACUUUUAUUUAUUGUGAGAUAACGUGUGCAAUUAAAAUUUUUUUUUUAUAUGGAAACAACCUAUUUUUAGCAGCAUGCUUAUUUUUUUACUGUUUUACUUAGACGUUCGAAGAAGUCCUUAAUUUUGUUCUUGGAUCCAUUGAUACAGGUAUAUUAAUGGAUCAAACCACAUUCCAAAAAUAUCCUAAGUUUCAAGUGCAUGGGGAGGCGUUGAUGGAACUUCCAAGGUAUUAUUGCCUAUAUCGGACGGAUAUAGCAACUGUUUCACCUCGCGACAUCUGUGGAUACACGUCGAAAAUUGCCGUAGACAGUUUCUUACCUUAUACAGAAAGAGCGUUCGCCGCUAGGAGGCGAGUUGAAGUUCUGAAUAUUGGCGGGACUUUUAAAUUGAAAUAAAUGAAUACUAUGUAUAUGAAUGUUUCUAGUACUCGUAAGUUAUUAUUCAUUAAACAUAUUUGAGACUUUUUCCACCCAGUGUAUGUCUGGACGAGGUCAUUCUUUGACGCAUUGAAAUAAACUAACGAAAUUACAGAAGUUCGUAGGUAUGUGAACGAGAAAUUAUUAGAUUAAUUAAUUUGAGUUAUUAAAUUGAACCUUCGCCGCUAGACGGCCAGUUGAAGUCUUAA